rnacentral:rRNA from 1 species
CCCUUAGAUAUCUUGGAAUGCACGCGGGAUACAAUAAUUAAGAUAAUAAGUUUAUUUUCUUUUGGCUCUUCUUUCUCUUCGGGGAUCGAUGUUCGCCAAGAAAACCUGUUUCGAAAGGAAUGGGAAAUCUCAAAAUCUUAAUUUUGACAAGGAUUGUCUCUUGUAACAGAGGCAUGAAAGAGGAAUACCUAGUAGGCGUGAGUCAACACCUCGCACCGAUUAAGUCCCUGCUUUUUGUACACACCGCCCGUCGCAUCAAGGAACAUGAUUGAAGUCAUGAAGCUUACGGAUAAUGUGUGUUUUUCUUCGGGAAAAUUGAUUAAAAGUAAACUGAAUGGUUUUAAUCUUACCAUGAUGAAGUCGUANCA